UAGGGAAUAUUGCUCAAUGGGCGAAAGCCUGAAGCAGCAACGCCGCGUGGAGGAUGACACUUUUCGGAGCGUAAACUCCUUUUCUUAGGGAAGAACAAUGACGGUACCUAAGGAAUAAGGACCGGCUAAUUCCGUGCCAGCAGCCGCGGUAAUACGGAAGGUCCGGGCGUUAUCCGGAUUCAUUGGGUUUAAAGGGAGCGCAGGCCGCCCCUUAAGCGUGUUGUGAAAUGUCGCGGCUCAACCGUGGCACUGCAGCGCGAACUGGGGGGCUUGAGUGCGCGCAGCGCAGGCGGAACUCGUGGUGUAGCGGUGAAAUGCUUAGAUAUCACGAAGAACUCCGAUCGCGAAGGCAGCCUGCGGGAGCGCAACUGACGCUGAGGCUCGAAAGUGCGGGUAUCGAACAGGAUUAGAUACCCUGGUAGU
rnacentral:rRNA from 1 species